GACGAACGCUGGCGGCGUGCCUAAUACAUGCAAGUCGAGCGAAGAGUUUCUGGUGUUUGCACUAGAAAAACUUAGCGGGGAAGGUGUGAGUAACACGGAAAGAACAUGCCUAAUAGACUGGUACAAUUAGGGGAAAGGAUAGCUAAUACCGGAUAACAGCAUUAACUGCAUGGUUGAUGUUUAAAAGUUGGUUUUGCUAACAUUAUGAGAUGGCUUUGCGGUGCAUUAGCUAGUUGGUGGGGUAAAGGCUUACCAAGGCGACGAUGCAUAGCCGACCUGAGAGGGUGAUCGGCCACACUGGAACUGAGACACGGCCCAGACUCCUACGGGAGGCAGCAGUAGGGAAUCUUCCGCAAUGGGCGAAAGCCUGACGGAGCAACGCCGCGUGAGUGAUGAAGGAUUUCGGUUCGUAAAACUCUGUUAUUAGGGAAGAAUGAUUGUGUAGUAACUAUACAACGUAGAGACGGUACCUAACCAGAAAGCCACGGCUAACUACGUG
rnacentral:rRNA from 1 species